AAACCAACAGGGAUUACCUCAGUAACGGCGAGUGAAGCGGUAACAGCUCAAAUUUGAAAUCUGGGUCUUUCAGGCUCCGAGUUGUAAUUUGUAGAAGAUGCUUCGGGUGCGGCUCCGGUCUAAGUUCCUCGGAACAGGACGUCAUAGAGGGUGAGAAUCCCGUAUGUGAUCGGUUGCUUGCGCCCAUGUGAAGCUCUUUCGACGAGUCGAGUUGUUUGGGAAUGCAGCUCAAAAUGGGUGGUAAAUUUCAUCUAAAGCUAAAUAUUGGCCAGAGACCGAUAGCGCACAAGUAGAGUGAUCGAAAGAUGAAAAGCACUUUGGAAAGAGAGUUAAACAGUACGUGAAAUUGUUGAAAGGGAAGCGCUUGCAACCAGACUUGCGCGUUGCCGAUCAUCCGGGGUUCUCCCCGGUGCACUCGGCCUCGCUCAGGCCAGCAUCGGUUUUGGUGGUGGGAUAAAGGCCUUGGGAAUGUAGCUCCUUUCGGGGAGUGUUAUAGCCCUCGGUGCAAUGCCGCCUACCGGGACCGAGGACCGCGCUUCGGCUAGGAUGCUGGCGUAAUGGUUGUAAGCGAC
rnacentral:rRNA from 1 species